rnacentral:rRNA from 1 species
ACGAACGCUGGCGGCGUGCUUAACACAUGCCAGUCGAACGGAAAGGCCCUGCUUUUGUGGGGUGCUCGAGUGGCGAACGGGUGAGUAACACGUGAGUAACCUGCCCUUGACUUUGGGAUAACUUCAGGAAACUGGGGCUAAUACCGGAUAGGAGCUCCUGCUGCAUGGUGGGGGUUGGAAAGUUUCGGCGGUUGGGGAUGGACUCGCGGCUUAUCAGCUUGUUGGUGGGGUAGUGGCUUACCAAGGCUUUGACGGGUAGCCGGCCUGAGAGGGUGACCGGCCACAUUGGGACUGAGAUACGGCCCAGACUCCUACGGGAGGCAGCAGUGGGGAAUAUUGCACAAUGGGCGGAAGCCUGAUGCAGCAACGCCGCGUGCGGGAUGACGGCCUUCGGGUUGUAAACCGCUUUCGCCUGUGACGAAGCGUGUGUGACGGUAAUGGGUAAAGAAGCACCGGCUAACUACGUG